rnacentral:rRNA from 1 species
AUGGUUGGCGGUCUCCCAUGGACUUCUCCCACCUCUGUACUCGUCGGCCGCCGUGCCCACAACCGCCCCGCCAUCCUUUUUGGGCCUCCCGUGGUCUGCUUCUUCAAGCCAUCGGUGGCGGCGCCGUGCAGUCCACUGCAUUUGUGCACGCAGCACACCCAUCUCGCAUCGUGCAUUCCAUGCAGUGCAAAAAAGCAUGGCAACACUGAACGAUGUGGCGACAAGGAAACCCAUUCUAGCGGCCAUCCUUCUCCUAGCCCCACGCCACCUGUGGGACCAGCACUGGGGUUCUACAGGCUAAAUCUGAUGGCAUUCUGCAAGGACUUGAACACGAGGAUGCAGAAGUACAAGGCGGAGACUCCGACCACCUUCGAGUUCGUGGUCAAGUCGCUGUCAGUCUCAUGGUUCCUCAAGAAGGCGGCGGGCAUCGAGACGGCGAGCAGCCGGCCGGGCCACAACAUCAACAUAGUGACAUCCCUCUCGCUCUGGCAUGUGUACGAGAUCGCCAAGCUGAAGUAG